rnacentral:rRNA from 1 species
GACGAACGCUGGCGGCGUGCCUAAUACAUGCAAGUUGAGCGAUGAAGGUUGGUGCUUGCACCAAUUUGAAGAGCAGCGAACGGGUGAGUAACGCGUGGGGAAUCUGCCUUUGAGCGGGGGACAACAUUUGGAAACGAAUGCUAAUACCGCAUAAAAACUUUAAACAUAAGUUUUAAGUUUGAAAGAUGCAAUUGCAUCACUCAAAGAUGAUCCCGCGUUGUAUUAGCUAGUUGGUGAGGUAAAGGCUCACCAAGGCGAUGAUACAUAGCCGACCUGAGAGGGUGAUCGGCCACAUUGGGACUGAGACACGGCCCAAACUCCUACGGGAGGCAGCAGUAGGGAAUCUUCGGCAAUGGACGAAAGUCUGACCGAGCAACGCCGCGUGAGUGAAGAAGGUUUUCGGAUCGUAAAACUCUGUUGGUAGAGAAGAACGUUGGUGAGAGUGGAAAGCUCAUCAAGUGACGGUAACUACCCAGAAAGGGACGGCUAACUACGUG